UUGCGGUUAAAAAGCUCGUAGUUGAAUCUGUGUCCCACGCUGCCGGUUCGCCGCUCGCGGUGUUUAACUGGCAUGAUUGUGGGACGUCCUACCGGUGGGCUUAGCCUCUCGGGGCGGCCCAACUAAUAUCCCAUCGCGGUGCUCUUCACUGAGUGUCGAGGUGGGCCGGUACGUUUACUUUGAACAAAUUAGAGUGCUUAAAGCAGGCUAUUUUCGCCUGAAUACUGUGUGCAUGGAAUAAUGGAAUAGGACCUCGGUUCUAUUUUGUUGGUUUUCGGAACCCCGAGGUAAUGAUUAAUAGGGACAGAUGGGGGCAUUCGUAUUGCGACGUUAGAGGUGAAAUUCUUGGAUCGUCGCAAGACGGACAGAAGCGAAAGCAUUUGCCAAAAAUGUUUUCUUUAAUCAAGAACGAAAGUUAGAGGUUCGAAGGCGAUCAGAUACCGCCCUAGUUCUAACCAUAAACGAUGCCAGCUAGCGAUCCGCCGAAGUUCCUCCGAUGACUCGGCGGGCAGCUUCCGGGAAACCAAAGCUUUUGGGUUCCGGGGGAAGUAUGGUUGCAAAGCUGAAACUUAAAGGAAUUGACGGAAGGGCACCACCAGGAGUGGAGCCUGCGGCUUAAUUUGACUCAACACGGGAAACCUCACCAGGCCCGGACACCGGAAGGAUUGACAGAUUGAGAGCUCUUUCUUGAUUCGGUGGGUGGUGGUGCAUGGCCGUUCUUAGUUGGUGGAGCGAU
rnacentral:rRNA from 1 species